GCUUUCGUGGUGUAGUGGUCAGCACGCUCGACGCGUAUUCGAGAGGUCCGUGGUUCGAGUCCCAGCUAGGGUG
rnacentral:tRNA from 1 species